AUUUACCCGGGAGCGCUUUACCACUGAGCUACAUCCCCAGCCCAUUUUUUUUUUUUAUUGUUUGUUUGUUUUUGAGACAGGGUCUCACGACGUUUUUUAGGGUCUUGCUAAGUUGCUGAGGCCAAUCUCAAACUUGUGAUCCUCCUGGAUCAGCCUCUGGAGCCACUGAGACUACAGCUGACCAAGUCCAUGUAGGUAUAUUUCUGGACUCUAUUCUGCUCUAAUCUGGACUGCAUAUGUUUUAAGAACAUACUGUCUUGGUUACUACAGAUUUGUUGGAAAUAUUGAAAUCAGACAAUUCAAUUCAGCCUAAAGGAAGAAGCUUCUAGAAAGUUAAUCAAGCCUCCCAAUGAACUACAAUAGCUUUCAAGAUUCUCUUUCAGUGCAACAGUCCACAGCCUCGCUCCAUGCCCUGUGAGGCACAAUCUGGAAGAUAAGUCGGGAGCUGUUGCUCUUCUACCAAACCUCAGAGCUUUCUGGAGGUAUGAUGCCCCAGAAGUGUGUGAAAACCUCCUCCAGGUCACACUGCAACUUCGUUUAUUGCUUAUUACCAGACUGCCCUCCAUGUCAUUCUACAUUAAUGCUAAAGAGGAAAUUGCAGUCUCACACAGUGAUUGAAGGCACUGCUCCGGAGGACUACAUGAGGAAGGACUAUUAAAGAGGAAGAUAUGGCAAUUGGUGCAGAACACAGGCUCUGGAGCCAGACUGCCUGAGUUCAUGUCUUGACCUAACCACUUUCCAGCUAAGUGAACUUGGCUUCUUUACCUGGCUCCCUGUGUCUUAGCUUCCUCCUCUAAUAAAUGGAAACAUCCAUAACUACCUACAUUAUAGGAUUGUUGUAAAGAUUACAUGUAUUUAUACAGAUGAAGCAAUUAAAAUAGUGCCUAGCACAGGGGAAACACUCCAAAAGCAUUAGCUACCUUGUUUUGUCUCUUCAUUUUUCAUGCUGAAGUUGACUUACAAAUUCCCCAAAUUUAAUGUCCUAGUUUAGACACUCAAGUAAGCUAUUAUGUGUGCAUGAUGUUUUUUUUUUUUUAUUAAGUUUUCUUACCAUUGAAAAAUGUGUAUAUAACACCUGGACAUUGAAAAAAAAAAACAGGUGGCUUUUUAAAUAGCUUGGUAUUGUAGAGAAUUGUGACCCACUUACUUUUGGCCUGUUGAAUAGCCCAGCCUUUCAUACCCUAAGCUUAGAACAUAAGAAACGUCCCGCUGAGUUGUACCCUGCCUUCUGCAGCGCAACAUUGUAUCUUUGGCAAGAGAACUAGAAGAAAGCUCUAGAGAUAAUAUGGCUGCUCACCAUGUAUCCAAUCGAAGGCGUUGGGCUGGUAUACAGCAACCUAUGUACCUUCCCUCAGACCCACCACGGAUCAGUCAUUAUCUUCCCCAAUCCAUCUUAAAUCAUGUUACAUUUUAAGUCUAUUCCAACUUAUGAAGACAACAAGCUAAAUAGAUAUAUUACUUUCUUUUUCAUAUUUAUCCUUCAAACUACACUUUUAAUCUUCACUAAGUGUCUUUUUGUUCUGGAAUUCCAAAAUAAGGAAAUUAGUAUUAAAAUAAGAAAAAAGAAUCAUAUAAAUAAGACAUUCCAAACAUUUGUAAUAUUACUUUAAUAUUUCAGAUAUUUACUUCCUAAAGAACUUUAUUAAUCAUAUAAAUCCUGUAGGAAUAUUUGCUCCUGGGAGACUGAUUGCUCUCAUGAUUCUCAUUUGCAUCAAUGAACUUCUUUUCACCUGGCCAAUCAAUAUGGAAAACAUCUAUUUGUCACUCAUUUUUGGAAGUAUUUAGUGUUUGAUUCCUUGCAAGUGCCGGACGGAGGGCUUCAGUUUCCAGUCAACUGUUUGCCAGAGGCUGUCCUCAAUUUCUUGCAUGUGGCCCUUUUCAUGGACACCUUACCACAUGUCAGGUUGCGUUUUCAAAGCCAGCAGAGGAGACUCUUCUCACAAGAUAAGAUUACAAUCUUAUAUAAUCUUAUAGUUAUUGUGGCCUGUAGACGCAGGACUCUGCCCUCCUCACCAAGGGAUCACUGGAGAAGACUUCAGAAGCAUAGAUUGGUCACACACAUACAAAAAUGUUUUAAUGAAGCCAUCUCCUACAACAAUUGAGGAACCUUUCUUUCCAGACGUCUUGUGGUCUGUCCUCUGGGAACUGUGCACCUGUUGGAGAGAGCUGUUUUAUAUUGGGCAGUCCAGGACCUGGUUUUUCAAGCUAUCCACCAGCCAUGUAGCUGCACUGUGCCUGGUUAGUGGCUGCUGAAGACAGGGGGGAGUUGAGGACUUUCUGUACCUUGAUAUCACUUCUAAGCUCCAGCUGGUGUUCCAAGCUGGGAGUUGCCCCAACUAAAGAUGGCAAUGAAGGUGUCCCAAGAUGGAGGUGACUGCUUUCAGCAAUGGGAUGUCAGUUCAGGUGGGGACUGGCAGUGGUUUUGAGCAGCAUGUUCAGAGAUAUACUGUUGUGUGCAGUAUUAUGACUGGUGGCUAUCACCAGACCCAGUGCAUUGCCCCAGGUGCAGGCUACUGUAUGUAGUGGACUGUGGCAGUGGUUGCAGUGCCCCAAGAUGGAGGCAACUGGAGGAGCCUCACAUUGGCAGAUGGGGGUCCACACGGAAGUGGUGGCUGGAGUUCCUGAGCAUGGGCUGUGGCCAGGUGUCCCAGGUGAGAGCAGUGGCUGGGAUUCCUGUGCUGUGGACAGCCAGGAGUCCUGAGCGGAUGCUCAUGCCAGUAGUCCUACUCAGGUACCUGGAGGACCUGAAUGGACAAGUGGCCAGGAGUCCUGAACUGACACCAAGGCCUAGAGACCUGUGUUGCAUAGUAGCCAUGAUUCCUGCACAGGAGCAGCUGUCAAGGGUUCUCUAAACAGAGAAACAGUAUUCCCACUACUUAAAUCCCAGGUCCCAGAGCACCCAGAAUAUAGCCUCACUGUAGCCCCCCAUCUUGGAUCACCUCAAUAAAAUGUGGUAUUCUUGAAAUUGUCAAAAAUUAAAUUCUUAGCCAGACUCCAUCUCCAUUAAUGUUUGCAAAUGGAAUAGUGGAGGGUACUAAGUAGUGGGCUCAUGCUCAUAUUAAAAUUUAUAUUCUCAGGCUGGGGUUGUGGCUCAAUGGUAGAUCCCUUGCCUAGCAUGGGUGAGACAUAGGUUGUGAUCCUCAUCACCACAUAUAAAUAAAUAAAACAAAGGUAUUGUGUCCAUCUACAACUAAUUUUUUUGAUUUUAUAUUCCCUCACUUUAUGCAUAGUUUAGUUUUUUUUUAACCUUAGAGUAUGGAAAUGCUUGAGAAUUCUGGAGCAACUCUCCAUACACACGUGUGUGAUCUCACAUACACAUACACAAGUAUCCUACAGUGGGAAAAAAUCUUCCUUCUAGAGGAAAAAGCAUAGGACUUUGGAAAAGAUACAUCUGGAUUCAAACCCUGACCUUCUCACUUGCUAACUAUGUUCAUACUCUUAAUGUCACUGAAUCUCAGGGCUAACAAUACUGUUCUCGUUCUGUUAUUUUGAGGAUUAUGGAGACAUGUAUAUUAAGUAACUUUCCUAAAGGAUUUACACAAUAAAUACUUGUCAUUUCUCUCCUGGAGGAAAAGGGGAGCCCACUGAUACCUGUAGUGCCAUCACUAAUACUUUCUCCAUGGCUCUAGUGACAUUUAAUCUGAUAAUAUCUUAGAAAGCACUUGACCUUUUAAUAGAAAACAAUUCUAAA